rnacentral:rRNA from 1 species
UACGUAGGGUGCAAGCGUUGUCCGGAAUUAUUGGGCGUAAAGAGCUCGUAGGCGGUCCGUCACGUCGGGCGUGAAAACCCAGGGCUCAACCCUGGGCCUGCGUUCGAUACGGGCGGACUAGAGUUCGGUAGGGGAGACUGGAAUUCCUGGUGUAGCGGUGAAAUGCGCAGAUAUCAGGAGGAACACCGGUGGCGAAGGCGGCUUGCUGGGCCUUACCUGACGCUGAGGAGCGAAAGCGUGGGGAGCGAACAGG